rnacentral:lncRNA from 1 species
CAGUAUUUUCACGGCCGGAUGAAAAACGUACCCAAUUUAAACAGGUUACUACUCUGGCCCAGAAAAUAGAAUAUUAUUAGUAGAUUUGGAUAGAAAACACUCUGAAGUUUCUAAAACUGUUUGAAUGGUGUCUGUGAGUAUAACAGAACUCAUAUGGCAGGCAAAAACCCUGAGAAAGAUUGAAUCAGGAAGUGGGAGAAAUUAGAAAUGUUGUUUUUCUUUUGAAUCCCUUGAAAAAAUACAGUGACAUAGGAUUUACGUUGCACCUCCUUCGUUGUUUUUUAUUUUUCUUCUGGGAUGAAUACCUAUUGCCCGGUUGUAAAAUUAUCGCAAUUUUACGUAAAAAAAUACCCUAAAGGGUUGAUUGUAAACAUCGUUUGGCGUGUUUCUACAAAUGGUAAUGGAACUUUGAACAUUUCGUCUAUGGAUUUGCAUCCACGCCACAUGGCAUUGUAAAGUGUUCUGGAUGGGUCAACAAAACUGACAUAUUUGGACAUAAAUGAUGGACUUUGCAGAACAAAUUAACAUUUCUUGUGGAAGUGGGAGCCCUUCCGAGUGCAUUCCGCCGAAGAUCAGCAAAGAUUUCAGGUCUGAGCUCUUCAUCCUGCUGCUGGAGCCCCACUGCUCUGUCUGUGUCGGGCUGUCAGGGUCAUCAUUGGGCUGAGCCAUUAUAACCCAGAUUCUCUGCACACAGUUAAUAGGAUUUGACUGAACCUGUCCCUGCGCAGCCGGCAGCCAUACGUUUCCCUCGCCCCCUUGUAUCAAGCAGGUAAUUAGUAGGGUGACCAUGUGAUCUCACGCUGCUUCUAUCCCUUAUGUGCUGCUAAUUAAAUCUACUUCCAUUGAUAUCGUCUUUAAAAGCUGACAAACGGAGGGCAAGGGGGUGAAGGGUUUUUUCUGACAUUGCCUGCUGUGCUAGAAAAUGUCUUACUCUGCGUUGUAGAUUUGCAUAUUUUUGGAGAACAGGGGUGGGAAGAAAACAGCAGUAGAAAUUGCAUCAGAAAGUGAGGGCUAAUAAUAACAAAUACACACACAAACAUGCACACACUACAUCUUGGAAAUGAAAAAAGGAAGGCCAAAUGGUUUAGAAUUUCUGUUAUCUAAUUGAUUCAAUUUGCAAGUGAGAACCCCUUCCCCUUGGAAGCAAAAUAGUAUGUGUACUACAGCCUCUUAUUCCUUCCUUUGUUGUGUAAAUCUCUCCUUUUUGAAGUCCAUUUUUUUCAAACUACACCACAGGGAGAUUGCCUCCCCUCAGGGAAGCAACCAAUCUUUUUUCCACACACACUCAGAAGGGCCUGGCUGGACCAGAGAAAUCCGAGGGUAUGCCUCCCUGGGAGACAAGGGUUGCAGUCCAAACACUUAAAAGACACACCCUAUCCCCUCAGCCCUCAAAUGAAGUGGACACUUCUGAUGACGUAUCAUGACGUCUGACGAGUAUACAUUUGCAGGUCAAGGGGAGGAGGGAGGAAGGAAUAAUUAUUAAAUGGACCACCCUUGGCCGGAAAUUCGUCACUUGUUCAUCCUGCGAUGAUUGUGUUUUCAGCCACCGGUAGCUUUAUAUCCGCUACAGUCAUUUAAGAGUGCAUUUCUACUUAUAUAAAAUAUAUAAUUAUUAAUAAACGCCUACUGUAUGAUAGCUAGUAAAUUAAUUAGCUAAUUAACGUUAGUCUGCCUAGCUGGAACAUCUGAAGAAGGAAAAUGUUUUAUUUCUACAAUUUCCAAAAGAUAACCAAACAAAAACGUAUUUACUUUUCUAACUUAUUAGCGUUCAUUUUUUCCUUACACUUGUAUGUUGACUUCUCCAUUGAUGUUGUUUUUAAGUUUUCACAGACUUUUCUUAGCGGAUGUACAAUCGUCGCAAAUUGAAUUAUGGGGAGUUUCAGGUCCCGGAGUGAACGUAACACUUGUACACUUGCAAAGCCGACUAAAAACGAGGGCUGAGGGGCUUACGUUGCAAACUUCCCUUGCUUGGCUAAUCAUUUGGACUGCCCUCCAAGAUGGUGACGGGGAUUGCCCCAAGAUCAUAAGGCGAGGGUAAGUGGAGGAGGAUGCGUCUUUUAAGUGUUUGGACCGCAGCCAAGGACAAUAAUAAUUGUUUCUUGAGAGGUAUAUGUGUGAUCAUGCACAAUACUGAAAGGAGUUAAAUAGAUGCACAUAGUAAUUCACCACUGGUUAGAGAGAGAGGAAUAUGAUGUGACCAGUUUGGCAGCAGACCAUAAUAUAAGUAAGUGUUUAUGAGUGAGCAAAGUUUUAAUUGAGUGUAAAAUGCACUGUAAAUUAUAAUCUGUAUCUAUUAGCUCUGCGGUGUCCGUCCAUUAAUUAUAUAUUACAUCCCUCAGACAAAGGGGCCACUUCUGAUUGACCGGAGCGCUGAAAAUGACAGCUGAGGUCAAGCUAUUGAAUGCUGACUGGGUGCCAUUGGGCAUUGAUAUUCAUGUCAUUUGAGGAGCCAAAUCUAUGGACAGGCUGAGGAUGUCCUUAUUGAUCACAGAUCCAGGAUCACAGUCACUGCAUUAUAAAGAGGGCCUCUCUGACCUGAUGAAAGACUUCUCCCACAAGUUCUGAAAACUUUGAGUGGGAGGUAAUGGAGCCUACAGAGGAGACAGUGAUCAGUGAGGGCAGGAAGGAAGGAGACAGUGGAGAGAAGAGGAUCAGCCAUUAAAGGACCUGAGCCCUAGGACCAUGCCUCAGGACUACCUGGUAUGAUGACUCCUUGCUGUCCCCAGUCCACCUGGCCGUGCUGCUGCUCCAGUUUCAACUGUUCUGCCUGCGGCUAUGGAACCCUGACCUGUUCACCGGACGUGCUUGUUGCACCCUCGACAACUACUAUGAUUAUUAUUAUUUGACCAUGCUGGUCAUUUAUGAACAUUUUAACAUUUUAACAUUUUGAACAUGUUCUGUUUUAAUAUCCACCCUGCACAGCCAGAAGAGGACUGGCCACCCCUCAUAGCCUGGUUCCUCUCUAGGUUUCUUCCUAGGUUUUUGGCCUUUCUAGGGAGUUUUUCCUAGGGAGUUUUUCCUAGCCACCGUGCUUCUUUCACAUGC